AAAAGAAGUGUAGAGUUAGUGAAGCUGUAAUGAACUGAUGGCUUCCUGCUGCUGUAUUAUGAAAACAAGUCCCAUUUCCACAAUAAACCAAGGACACUAAAGGGCUGCAGAACAGUUCUGCCAACAGACACAACAGGAAUGAAAUGAGAAUCAUGUCGUCAGGAUGAAAUGUGCAACACAUCGUCCGUCCAAAAAGUUUUUGGACAACAAUGGAGCUCCGUGGUACGGAGGACACAUAUGUUCAACUCCCACUGCUCUACAUCAGAAAAAAGUAAGCACCA